UACGUAGGGACCAAGCGUUGUUCGGAUUUACUGGGCGUAAAGGGCGCGUAGGCGGCAAUUCAAGUCAGUUGUGAAAUCUCCGAGCUUAACUCGGAACGGUCAACUGAUACUGUUUUGCUAGAGUACAGAAGGGGCAAUCGGAAUUCUUGGUGUAGCGGUGGAAUGCGCAGAUAUCAGGAGGAACACCAAUAGCGAAGGCAGCUCGCUGGGACGGUACUGACGCUAAGGCGCGAAAGCGUGGGGAGCAAACAGG
rnacentral:rRNA from 1 species